GCUAUUGAAAUGUUUCUUCUUUAUUUUCUUCUUCUCUGCAAAAUCGAUUGAAGAGGGAAAGAGAGAGAGAGAGAGAGAGAGAGAGAGAUGGGGUGGGGAUGGGCAGUGUAUGAGGGUGUGGUGGUGGUGGGGUCGCUGUGCCUUCUGGGAUGGGCGGGGCUAUGGUUUUUGAAUCGAAGGCUGUAUAAGGAGUACGAGGAGAAGAGGGCUCUGGUUCAGAUCAUCUUCAGCGUCGUCUUCGCCUUCUCCUGUAACCUUCUUCAGCUCGUCCUCUUCGAGAUCAUCCCGCUUCUCUCUAAAGAGGCGAGAUGGAUGAACUGGAAGUUGGAUUUGUUUUGCUUGAUAAUGCUAUUGGUUUUCAUGUUGCCUUAUUAUCAUUGUUACUUAAUGCUGUGCAACAAUGGCGUGAGGAAGGAACGAGCUGCUCUUGGAGCUGUCUUAUUCUUGGUUGCUUUUCUCUAUGCUUUUUGGCGCAUGGGCAUUCACUUUCCCAUGCCUUCACCUGAUAAAGGUUUUUUCACCAUGCCUCAAUUGGUUAGCAGAAUUGGGGUUAUUGGGGUAACUGUCAUGGCUGUUCUAUCUGGUUUUGGAGCUGUGAAUUUGCCGUACAGUUAUUUAUCUCUUUUCAUCAGAGAAAUUGAAGAAGCUGAUAUCAGAGCCUUGGAAAGACAGCUAAUGCAAUCAAUUGAAACUUGUAUUGCAAAGAAAAAGAAAAUCAUUCUAUCUCAAAUGGAAAUGGAGCGAAUUCAAGGAUCAGAAGAGAAAUUGAAGGCUCGAUCUUUCUUUAAACGAAUUGUUGGAACGGUUGUGCGUUCUGUACAGGACGACCAAAAAGAGCAAGAUAUCAAAAGCAUGGAAGCAGAAGUGCAAGCUUUGGAAGAGCUUUCAAAGCAAUUAUUCUUGGAAAUCUAUGAGCUUCGUCAAGCUAAGGAAGCAGCAGCCUAUUCUCGAAGCUGGAAAGGUCACAUGCAGAAUCUACUGGGCUACGCAUGCUCUGUCUAUUGUGUAUACAAAAUGAUUAAGUCUUUGCAAAGUGUUGUUUUCAAGGAGGCUGGUUCUGUUGAUCCUGUGACAAGGACAAUUAGCAUAUUCUUACAGUUCUUUGAUAUCGGAAUCAAUGCCACCUUAUUGUCACAGUAUAUUUCCUUGUUAUUCAUUGGAAUGUUGAUUGUUAUAUCUGUAAGGGGAUUCUUAACUAAUCUAAUGAAGUUCUUUUUUGCAGUUUCUAGAGUUGGGAGUGGAUCUUCAAGCAAUGUUGUACUGUUCCUCUCUGAAAUUAUGGGAAUGUAUUUUGUGUCAUCCAUUCUUUUGAUAAGAAAAAGCUUGGCAACUGAAUAUAGGAUGAUCAUAACAGAUGUAUUGGGUGGAGAUAUUCAGUUUGAUUUUUACCAUCGGUGGUUCGAUGCAAUCUUUGUAGCCAGUGCCUUCCUCUCUCUGCUUUUGCUUUCAGCACAUUAUACAUCUCGCCAGGCUGACAAACACCCAAUUGACUAAUGUAUUUUGUAUGGUGGUUAAAACUUGGUUCGAAGAGGGGUGGAAAAGUUAUGAUAUGGAAUAUGGAUUACCUCCCAUUGUGUGGCUCAAGCCUACUGUGAGCUUCCAAUUGACACCAAAAGAGAUUGCCUUACGACACCAUUAACUUGGAAAUACCUAUGAUGCCUCAAUGAUGCUGAUUUCCUUUCAUGUUUGGACAUAUACUUGUACAUUGUUAUGCUUUCAAGGCGAUGAGGGUAUGUGCUCAUAUUAAUCCCAUGGUUGUCUUCACCAGAGUCGAAUUCUCUAUUAUGACUGCUACCAUAUUUUUUUUCAUGUAAUUUUUUAUUCCACUCCUUCAUUUUGUAGAAAAGGAGGGGGAAAAGUAAAAGAAGUGGGGAGGGGUUGAAAAUGAAUAGAAAUAUUGGCUUCUUACCCCAAAAGAACGUGUAUUGGUCAUCUUUGUAGAAUCAAGUUUCUGUAUAGUAAUCCAUAUAGUUGAAACUAAAUCUUGGCCACCAAAUUGUAUCAGGAAUCAAUUCUUUUAGCUCUUGUGAGUAUAUGUUUUGCUAUGCAAGAAUGUUUUGUGUUAUUUCUC